GACGAACGCUGGCGGCGUGCUUAACACAUGCAAGUCGAACGGAAAGGCCCUGCUCUUGUGGGGUGCUCGAGUGGCGAACGGGUGAGUAACACGUGAGUAACCUGCCCCUGACUUUGGGAUAACUUCAGGAAACUGGGGCUAAUACCGGAUAGGAGCUCCUGCUGCACGGUGGGGGUUGGAAAGUUUCGGCGGUUGGGGAUGGACUCGCGGCUUAUCCGCUUGUUGGUGGGGUAGUGGCUUACCAAGGCUUUGACGGGUAGCCGGCCUGAGAGGGUGACCGGCGACAAUGGGACUGAGGUACGGCGCAGACGCCUACGGGAGGCAGCAGUGGGGAAUAUUGCGCAAUGGGGGGGAGCCUGAUACAGCGACGCCGCGUGCGUGAUGACGGCCUUCGGGUUGUAAACCGCUUUCGCCGGUGACGAAGCGUGAUUGACGGUAAUUGGUAAAAAAGCACCGGCUAACUACGUG
rnacentral:rRNA from 1 species